rnacentral:rRNA from 1 species
UACGUAGGGGGCGAGCGUUGUCCGGAAUUAUUGGGCGUAAAGGGCUCGUAGGCGGUUUGUCGCGUCGGGAGUGAAAACCUCGGGCUUAACUCGGGGCUUGCUUUCGAUACGGGCAGACUAGAGGUAUGCAGGGGAGAACGGAAUUCCUGGUGUAGCGGUGAAAUGCGCAGAUAUCAGGAGGAACACCGGUGGCGAAGGCGGUUCUCUGGGCAUGAUCUGACGCUGAGGAGCGAAAGUGUGGGGAGCGAACAGG